rnacentral:lncRNA from 1 species
ACAAGCAUGGCAGAGCCCGUGCAUAAGCCAUUUGGCUUUGCAAUUAAAAACAGGUUUGGCUUCCCUCUGCAUCAGUAAGACAACGUCAAAGCAACAUUCAUCCUGAAAAUUUUCCCUUGUGAAUUGGAAUGAACUAAUGAAACCUUGCGGAGCUGUUAACUUAAGUGUAAUUUUCGUCAAGAGCAACAAUUAUUCUGUGCAACAGAGAUCUUCUGAGCUAUUAACAAAGCUACUGGAGAAAUGUCAACAGUGGUCAGCUGCCAGUUACUUUUACAAAUAAGAUUUUACUUGACACGAUAAGCCUGAAGAUACUUAAGACAACUGCUGGCUUCUCAGAAGAGGGAGACACUGGGAUGCAAAUACUGAAAUAAGGCGCUGAGUUGAGAGACCUCCAAUCCUGAAGCUUUGGAAAAACUUGGAAUGGCUUAAUUAGCCACUGAUUAACCUUUGGUUAGAAAUAUCAUCUUAAAAAAUAUUUGAAUUUACUGGCUUGAUGAAAACUUUUGCACACUGAUUUUCGUCUCUUAUUGCAGAACUAAUACCCAGAUGGUUUCUCCAGAUAUUUUUCUUCUAAAAUGUCCACUGAUUGUUAUGUUCAGGAUAAUUCUGCAAGAGAGCAGAAUCCUAAACAGUUCAAAUCCCCAUCCCAACCCUACACUUGUAUUGACAAUUACUUUAGGGGGCCAGCCCCAUGGCCCAGUGGUUAAGUUCAUGAGCUCUGCUGUGGUGGCCCAGGGUUUCGCCGGUUCGAAUCCUGGGUGCGGACAUGGCACUGCUCGUCAGGCCGCGUUGAGGCGGCGUCCCACAUGCCACAACUAGAAGGACCUGCAACUAAGAUAUACAACUAUGUACUGGGGGGAUUUGGGGGGAUAAAGCAGGAAAAAAAAAAUGGGAAAAAAAAAGAAAAUUAUUUUAGAGUGGUGUGAAGAGAGGAUGAGGGAAAAGGAAACAGGUGAUUUGAAAGAUAACUUUGGAAAAGUUUGUAAGCCUGAAUGACUACGUGUGGGAGGGGAGGGGGGUGUUGUUACACUGGACAUAGAUAUCAGAGCACAAUUUACAACACCCUGGGCUGAUAAUCUGAAGGCCUGAAUUCUAAUCUUUACCCUUCACUGAUUUCCUGAUUGACCUCAGGCAAGUCACUUCAAGCCACGGCAUGGUGGUUACCAGGGCCUCUCUCUGCUCAGCCGUGUUGACUUGAAUCCUUUCUCCACCACGUAAUAGCUGUGUAACUUUGGGCAAGUUGCCUAACCUUCUCACACCUCUAUAUUCUCAUCUGUAAAACGUGGAUAAUAAUAGCUUCUGGUUCAUAGGCCUGUGAUGAGGGGCAAAGGAGAUAACAGUGUAAAACGUUGUUUGGGCCAUCCAUAAAUAAGUCCUCCAUAAAUACUAGCUAUUGUCAUUACCUCUGAGUCACAGUUUCCUCAUGUAGAACAGGAGAGGGUCGGAGUAGAUGACCUAAUGAAUUCUUUCAGCCAGCCUUCAGGAAAACCAUCAUACAGAAUGCAGCUAAUAACCCAACCUCUCAAAAUCUCUGUAGCCACAAGGAGCCCUCCCCAGAUCUUAUUUACCACACCUCACCCAUCAUGCUGCCUGUUGGUCACACAGGCCUUACUGAUUCCUAUUUUACACGCAGUUCUAACGACCACGUUGAUCUGAUAUCUCAGACUACAGAAGCCCAAAUUAGUAAGAAGAAUGUUGAAAGAAAAACACCUUGUAAGCAAGGGUGGUUGCAAGCAGUCUGAUGUUAAGAGAGGAAACAAUUGCGAUCACAGAAGGAAGUACGUGCGCCACCAUGACUCAAGUCAUUAAACAUUUUUGAACCACAUUCAGUAAAAUGCUCAAGGCAGCUACCAAUUUUAGAGCUGUUUCUAUCAAAAUGAUUAGCAUUUGAUAGGUGUGGGAAUUAUUAGUUUCGGGAUAAUUCUUCUUAUGGUCAGAAUGUGCCUGGUUAUUGGUUAAGCCCCAGAUUUGCUGGCCCUCUUUCUUCUCUCCUGGUUCAGCAUCUCUAGCAUCAGGAUGCAGGUGGUAGGCCAGUCCAGAACUGUCUUGUCUCCCAGUGGGGCGGUGGAUAUAGGGUGAGAGGGAGUAUUGGGCCAGUUACUCAGCACCGGCAAUGACAAAGCCAUCCUGCCUAAGCCUGCCUUCAAGCUCCUGCCACAUUUGCUUUCAUAUCUUAACAAAGUGACUCCUUCCCUUGGCUCUCCCAUGCCCUGACUCCUUUUCCGACCUAGAAGGUAACAGGUUCAGGAAUUAGGACUCAUGCUGACCUCAAAUAAGGUUUAAAUCCUGCCUCUGCCACUUGCCAGCUAUGCGACUUUGGUCAAACAUUUUCACUUUUCUGCACGUCUUUGUUGCAGCCGUAAAAUGUGAACAAUGAUGCCUUACUUCCCAGGGCUGUUGAAGAGAGGAAGGGAGACCGCGGAGGGAAAGCAUGGUGCCUGGUACAGAAGGAGUUCAAGAUGUAUUAGCUGUUCCUGAUGCCCAUUUUAAUUGCAUCUAGGAUUUUAAUGCCAGCCCUGGUGGUCUAGUGGUUAAGAUUCAGAGCCAUGGCCCAGGUCUGUUUCCCAGUCAGGGAACCAUACCGCCUGUCUGUCGGUUGUCACACUGUGGUGACUGCAUGUUGCUGGGAUGUUGAAAGCUCUGCCACCAUGAUUUCACAAACACUAUCAGGGUCACUCAUGGUGGACAGGUUUCAAUGGAGCUUCCAGACUAGACAGACUAGGAAGAAGGACCUGGCCAACUUCCUAAAACAUUGGCCAUGAAAACCCUAUGAGUAGCAACAGAGCAUUGUCUGAUAGAGCAACAGAAGGUGAGAGGACGGUAUAAAAAGACCAAGCAGGGUUCAGCUCUGUGGUCCACAGGGUCACUAGGAGUUGGAAUCCACUUGACAGCAUUAACAACAACAACAAAGUUAUAGUCACAAGCUUGUUUAUGUAACUCAAAUCAAAAAUCUUUGUAUUGCCUUGUAUUAUAUGACCUAGAUCUGUUAAAAGAAAAAACUAGGGUAAUGUUUUAAAGGGACAAUGCCCAAAUUGGCUACUCUCAGCUUUUAUUUUCACCUUAUGGUGGCAUAGAAUGAAGUCCAUCCUUCUUAGGAAUCCACGCGUUCCAGAAAUGGAAAUUACCUCUUCCAUGGAAUCAGAAGGAUUGGCCAUUCAUACCUAUGGAUGCCUCUUUGACUCAGUUUACUUGCAAAAUAUCACCCGACUCAGUUUCAUCAAGUGAUAGUGAAAACUUUGUCUAGCUGGGAUGUGCUCUCCUUUUGAAAAGGUGCUACCAACCACAGAGAUCCUAGGGGCCCAUGGAAUGAAUGUGUUUCCUGAUGCCUGUCUCAGAGCCUAUGCUAGUGCAGAUAAGGCAUUUUCUUUUUCACUGCUCAGAACUCAUUCAUCAGGAUUAGAAGUUUUUGGCACAUCUUGAAUGUUACAUAAUCAUAUGACAGUACAGAGGCUUUUAGCUUCUUGUCACUGUUCAUGCUAAGCCAUCCUCAAUGUUAUAAUAUCAUUGAUAUCUCCAAGAGAUAACUCAAAGGUGUCUACUGGCUAUAUAAUUUGUCAGGCAUUAAUAGAGACUGGAGCUAUCAGGAAACAUACAGUAUUUUUUGUAAUCUUUUCCUGAUAGUGGUUUUGAUAAGAUUUAAACGCAGCCUCAGAUUUAACUUCCUUAAAUACUCAUGCUUGUUUGUUUGUUCGUUUGAAAAGCGUGACUUAAAAUGCCAGAUGUGCUAACCUUCUGUAACUAUAUGCCAAAGACUUGCUAAGCUUUCUGACUUCAUGGUCAGCUUUUAAUGUUUGCUUUCUCUUGUUCGAAAAAGUUUCUGUUUUCCAUGUAUUAGUCCUUGAUCCCAGUAAAUGUCACAAGAGCUAAGCUCAAGGAAAUUCUCAGGAAAGUCCCAAGAAAAGUCUGAGGGUGUGCCUCCAUUAACAGAUAAAACCUUUCCAAAGAUCCUCAGUAAGUUGCUUUUUGCAAACCUUAGCGAUUUAACAGAAAAUAAUACACGACUUCUGCAUUAAACUUUGGUACUGAAAUGCAAUAGACCUCUGCCAGAGCCUGAAGGUUUUCUCAAACUGUGAUUAGGAAAAUGAACAAAAGUGAUCAAUUUGACCAACUUAAUCAGGGCAGCGGAAUUUCAGAAAUCAUUCACUGAAUUAAUCAUCUAAUUUUUAAACUAAACCAAUAAAAUAAUUCCCAAAAACCCCACAACUUUACAGACUUACAUUGAUAUUUCAAUGCUCUCCAACACCCGGCCCACUUGACCUUCACAGGAUUUUCAAUGUGACAUUAUUGCAUACACCAUCUAUUCCAGCCAACCUGCUCUACUGACUGCCAGGCACAUCUUCACCUUCCCUUCUCGUUGCCUUGCUCUGUCCUGUGCCCUGGCCUGAGGUGCUUUCGUUUUUCCCUCUGUUCAUCUCCUAAGCUAUAUCUAAGUCAUGCUCCGUCCAUGAAGUUUUUGAAAAUGACUUCCUCUUUGGACCCUGAUAGUACUGAUCAUCCAUUCCACACGUUGUAAGACCUCUUGGACUAUGGCUAUCACUUUGUAUUGCCACUACUAUUCUUUAAUUGACUAGGCAUUUCUAUUUUAUAUGCCUCGGUAUAGAUUUUCAGCGCCCAGAGAUGUUGUAUAUUUGUAUUUAUGGCUGUCCAGUGCCUUACAAAAUGCCUUGCCUGUUGCCGAUGUCAAUUAUACUAGCUAAUCUAAAUAGUUUAACCAAUCUAGUGACAUCAUUUAAUCUGAUUACAAAGAUAGAGCAAGGGACUGUUAGGGAAUGGCUGUAAAACUUGUAAUCAUAUUGUUGGCCCAGACACCUGAAAUAGAUUUCCAGAUCUGCCACCUGUCUUGAACAAGUCAUUUCAUCUCUCUUACCUUCAAAUUUUCCAAUCUGUAAAAGUGAAAGAAUAAUAAUGACUCUCGGGGCCGGCCUGGUGGUGCAGCGGUUAAGUGCGCACAUUUCGCUUCAGCGGCCUGGAGUUCACCAGUUCAGAUCCCCGGUGUGAACAUGGCACUGCUCAUCAAGCCCCGCUCAUCAAGCAAUGCUGUGACAGGCAUCCCACAUAUAAAGUAGAGGAAGAUGGGCACAGAUGUUAGGUCAGGGCCAGUCUUCCUCAGCAAAAAAGAGGAGGAUUGGCAGCAGAUGUUAGCUCAGGGCUGAUCUUCCUCAAAAAUAAUAAUUAAUAAUAAUAAUAAUAACGACUUUCUUUCCUAUUUCACUAGAUUACUGUGAGAUUCAAAGGAUGCAGUGUCUUUGAAAAUGUUUGCACAAAGUUAAGUACCUUACAAAUAAGAAUGUCCACUGUUAGGCAAAAGAAACACUACUUUUAGAAAUCCCAUACCAAAUAUAGCAAAGGGCUCCUAAAAUGAUCAAGACUGGUGUUAGUUUUAAGGUAUAUUGCGAUCAAUUUCAAAUAGUGCUCUAGGUCAGAUUGUUCAUCUCACUUUACAGAUGAAAGGAUGAAACUAAUGACUGAGUAAAAUUAAUGACAGCACUAAAAUGAUAUGCCUUCAUUGUUCUAGCUAUUAGCUUUGAGCCUAAGGAGCACUAUUACUUCUUUCUAAAUUUUUCUUCAAGUACCACUGAAGUUCUGAUUCUUAGGGAUUAAGAAAAAGCAACACGUUGAAAAUGUCAGUCUCUCCUCCCUGUAGUUGCUGGGCACCCUACAUUAGCAUAAAUAGCAUCUGUGCAUCCAUAAUUUGGUUCCAUGUCUCUUUAAAUUCUUCCUGUAUUCUUCUAGUAGUCCGCAUAAAUUUCACUCAAUCAUUAGCUUCAACCUUUCAUCUGCUCUGGUCAGUCCUUAAUCUACAUUCCUCCUCAAUGUAUUUAUUAAAUGAACAAUGUAUCAUUUUCACCUUUUGGAGUAUUGUAGAUAAGUACUGUGAGGUUGAAGCAUGGGCAUAUAGUGUCUUCCACAUCAACUUUGAACUCCUUUGGGUGAGUCAGCACUGCUCUUCUUAAAUCCUUAAGUACCCUUGACCUCGUACAUUCACUAGAGUCAAAUGAUGCUCAUUAAAGGCCGUUUAGGAUGUGCCAUCAUCCCUUCCAGUGUUCACAUCCCAAGUUCCUGUGAAUCAUGGUUCAUCGUGAAUCUUUCUCCCUUCAAAUAACACUGACUGAAUGUUCAUCAUAUUCCCAUGUAGCAAGAAGCCAGAAUGUUUAUUGACAGGAAGAAGGAGUAGAAUGUGCCCUACUGGGAGCCAAUCAGGACUUUAAGACCAAAGAUGUGCUUUCUUUCCAACCUAGGGCUCCUUCUUUGAUGUUGGACAAGUCAUUUUCAACACUUUAGUUAUUUUUGCGUUAGAGGAAGGACUUGUAAGAUUUCUACUAGCUCUACACAAGGGUAUAUUACAAAAAGAAUAACCACCAAAACAAAUGACUGAUCUGCCAGGUCAUCUACGAGAGGAUAAAAAGGAUAUCCAAAUAGGAUCAAAAGAAUAGAGCUAGAGCACCAAAUAUUUUAGUUUUACAUUCAUACAGCCUGUGCCCUUAGCGUGAAUUUUCUGAGGUCAUAUCCUUCCAAUGCUUCCUACCUAGAAGAAAUUUGAACGGCAUUCACCCAACUGGCAUAGUCUUCCAGAAGGAGGAAGGACCGAAAAUCAAAUAGAAAACAAAUAUUCAAGCAAGCAUGAAGCCUUUCCAAGAACGUAUACCAUAUCAAUCUCCAUUGUCCUCUUUGUUUAUUUUUGGAUUAAAAUUCAUAUUUAAUUAAUUUUUUAAAACUAUUCUAUACAAAAUGUCUGGUAACUGAGCUAACCAUAGAUAUGGGAAAAAGGUAAUAAGCAGAUAAGACAGUCAACCGAGAAAGAAAAAUCUGUAAAGUUAACUCCAUUUUCUUUUGAUUUUAUGCAGACAGUCACUGCCCUAGUCACAAUAUCAGAUUGUGGGAUUUGUAUUCCAAAUGUUCUUUUGUUCCAAAUAGCUAUCUACAUUAACAUCAGAAUUAUCACUGCCACAAAGAGAUUUUUUUAUCUUGCUUUAGUAAUAAUUUUUCAGUAAUAAUGCAGCUGGUAAAAAUGUGUGUGUGUGUAUAUAUAUAUAUAUGAGCAUAAAUAUAAUUUGGGGAAAGAACUAUUAAAGAUACAUUUUUUUAAUUACAAGCUGAAGUAGUUACAAAUUCUAAAAAUUUCUAGAACCUUACCAGUCCUAAAUUACUUUGAGCUCCCUUAUUUUCAUAUAUUUAUAUGUAACAAUGUCAUUAUCUUUUCAUUUUUAAUCUACAUAAUAUUCACUUAUUCUGUAAUAUCGUAGUUAACUUACAAAUUUGCUAAUUUGAAAAUGUUUGGAUUACCUAAAACAUGAGGGUCUUAUAGAUGAUGCUGCUAUGAAUAUCUUACCACUUUUGGAUUCAUGUCUGACAAUUGAACUGGCUCCAGAUCUAGGAAAAUGUAUAGCUCUUCUUACAUCUGUUGACCUUAAAUAAACAGACAGUAUUUCUCCAGCAAAACUGGGUUCACUUUGGAUCAGCAAAGAAUUGCAAUUCAGGGUCUACAACCACGGUAAGCCAUGUGCAAGUGCCCAGCAGCAAGGAAGGAGAAACUCUUAUGAAGGGGAAGAGGAAUUAGGGAGAGCUACUGUAAACAAAGUCUAUGGGGGGAGACUGGGAGUUCCAAGUGUAGAUGCUUUUCAUUGGCUGAGCUGUGACAGUCUCUCAUUAGCUGACGUCUUGCCAAUCAAGAGGAAGAAGUCUUUGUUCUUCCUGUCGGGCUCUACUAUCUAGAUAGGGCAUGAAAUCUCCUCUUUUCUGCCUCCUGACUCCAUUUUAAUCAGGUUUCUGUUUACUAAUUUCCACACGUCAUUCCAGAUCUGUGGCCCGCAAGAUUAAAUAAAUUUAUAAAGCCGUCAAAGGCAGUCCUACACGCAUGUACAUUCCCCUUGAGCCCAGCCUUCAGUGGUUUUUUGAAAAUUAUGUCCCUUUGUUUUGCUAGGUUAAUUGACGUAUGAAGAUACCUAAAAUUUGUAUAAUUUUCAUCUAUCUUACUAGUGAUGAGACUGCACAUCAUUCACCAUGAUCCUUUACUAUUUUAUCCAUACAGUGGAAAUGUAUGCACCACAGCUACGUGCCAAGUGCCGCUCCAGGACUGAAGAUCAUAAAGACAAACGGGACACCAUCUUGGAGAGUUUUACUCUCAAAGAGAACACAGUGUAAUGACAGAUAGAAACGUAAUAAAGUCACAACAAAAAAUGUUAAGUUACAACUAUACCAAUGAAAUACUACCUAGUAAUGAAAAGGCAUGAACUACAGUCAUGUAUCACUUAACGACAAGGAUACAUUUUGAGAAACGUGUCGUUAAGUGAUUUUGUCAUUUGUGAACGUCAUAGACUGUACUUACACAAAUCUAGAUGGCAGAACUUACUACACACAUAAGCUGUAUGGUUCUAACCUUACGGGACUACUGUGGAAUAUGCAAUGCGUCAUUGACAGACACAUCAUCGUUACAUGGUACAUCACUGUACUGACACAUGCAACAAUGUGGAAGAAUUUCAGAAGCGUGAUGCUAGGUGAAAGAAGGCAGACUCAGAAAGCUAUAUACUGUAGGAUUCCAUUUAUAGGAGAUUCUGGAAAAGGCAAAACUAUAUUAACAGAAAGCAGAUCAAUGAUUGCCAGGGAGCAGGGGAGAGGAAGAGGACUAACAGGAAAGUGCUAGGGGAUAGAAUUAUUUUGUGUCUUGACUGUGGCGGUGAUUGCACAACCUUAUAAAUCAUAUUUGUCAAAAUGCAUAGAGUCGUGCAUCUAGAAAGGGUGAACUUUACUAAAUAUAAAUGCUAUUUCAACAUGCCUGGCUUUAAAAAGUGAUAAGUGAAACAGUUUAGGGUAGAUGAUAAGAAUGAAGGGUCUCAGGUCAGGCUGCUGAGUUUGUAUAGCUUCCACAUCCCUUCCUCGCUAUGUCACCCUACGCAAUUAUUUAACCUCUCUGUGCCUCAACUUGCUGAUCUUUAAAAUGGGUGUAAGUAAUAGUGCCUACUUCAUGGGAUUAUUAGAAGAGAUGAUCAAGGCAAAGUCACUGGACUUUGUAAGCACCCAAUAGAUUUUGUUUUUUCUUAUCUGAGUGCCACAGAAGAGCGGUAUACACAGCCCAAUGGGAAAUGGGCACAUGGCCAGAAAAGGCAAUUCAUGAAAGAAGAAAUACAAAUGCUCGUUAGUCACAGAAAGAUAACUUUGGCCUGACUACUAACCAGAGCAAUAAAUGUUAAAUAUAAAUGUCAAUUUUGUUUACAAAACAAGCAAAUUUUUUCUUUUUCUAUCUUUAUCUUGUUAAGGAUAAGACCCAGAGUUGAGGCAGACCUAUUGAAAGAAGUACUGUCAUGUUACUGUUGACAUGUAACUGGAUCUACCUUUGUAGAAAGCAAUUUGGCAUAUGUACAAAGGGUAUGAAGGUAUUAAACCUCUUCGAUCCAGUCAUUGAAUUUUAAAUUUUUUCCCUUAAAAAGUGUCAAUAAUAAGGGAGAUUUAUGUGCAAGGUCAAUUAUUGUGAUAUAUUUAUAAGAGAAAAAAAGCCAACCUCCUAACCAUUAGAAAAAGGUUAAAUAAAUUUUGAUAUAUGCAUACUGUUAUGUAAGCACAACAAACUUGUUUUUGGAAAUUGCUAAAUGGACAUAGGAAGAAAUGCAGCCAAAACACAAACUUUUUAGAGCGGUCAGGAACUGAUCUCUGCAGAAAAAUAGAAGUUUCUUAGGUGGGAAAAAUGGGGAAUUAUAUUCCAAGAGGAAGGCGUGUUAUGUGCAGAGAGGCCAAAAGCCUGGGAACACUUAUGGUCGCCUGGGAGGGUCAAAUAUUCCAGAGUGAUUAGGUGUAGAGUUCCCAGGAAGAAGUGAUAAGAUGUAAAACAAAAAACCAGCCAUCACUCUGUUUUGUUGUUGUUGUUGUUGUUGUUUGGUGAGGAAGAGUAUCCCUGAGCUAACAUCUGUGCCAGGCUUCCUCUAUUUCGUAUGUGGGAUGCCACCACAGCAUGGCUUGGUAAGUGGGGUGUAGGUCCACACUCAGGAUCUUAACUUGUGAACCCUGGGCUGGCAAAGCAGAGAACGGGAACCUGACCACUAACACACCAAGUCGGCCCCCAUCACCAGUUUUCAAAGAUCUAUAUUUCAUGCUAAUAAGUCCACACUGUAUUUUGCAUUUACAAACCAUUAGAGCUUUUUCAGAAAAGGCUUAACACAACUGUUUUACUUCAGAAAGACACCUCUGAUGGGUAGGACCAUGCCAAUUUCUUCUUUUGGACAUUCACCAAAUGGAAUUAGAUAUUUGAAAAUUAAUAGCUCACAAGUUCAGUACACUAAAUAAGUGAUUACAAGGAUAGCAAGAUGCACAGUGAUUUCAAACAUCUCAUUAUGAACUCACAAACACUUGUUGAAUCGAGUACUUUCCUAGGAAGGCAAGUCCAUUAUUGCCAUCGCCUGUUUUUUGUUGUUUGGGUUGGAUGGUUUUCUAACAAAGGCUUAUUUCCUCUACUUUGAUCUGUUUUUUUCUACCUUCUGGGCUGUUUUGCCCCACUUUUAGAAUACAGCUUAGCUCCCGGGGAUUUCUAAGUCACAUUUUGUAUUCUUAAUAGGUUAAUCAGCUAAAGCUUGUGGCGUUUGGAAUCCUAAAUCAGCAAUCCAGGUUCUCCUCGGUCUUUGGGAUCCAGAAGUGAACCAAAGAAAAUGCCUGCCUUUAUGGAGUUUGUGUUCUAGUACAGGAAACAAAAAAGAGUGUUGGAGGAAACUUUAUUAAGCUAUUGUCUUUCUGAUUCUGUACUCUGCUGUGCAAGGUGGGGCUGCAGCCAUACAGACUCCAUCUCCACAUGACCAGCUUCUCUGCUACGUUCUGCCAACAGAGGGCGCCAGAGGAAGACUGCAGUAGUUGAGAAGGAAGAUGGACAGUGCUCCUUCCCACUUCCUUCCUGUUUCCUGCCAACAGCCCCCAGGAACGGCUCUUCAACCCGGCAGCAACAGUUGAUUCCAGAAGCAGCAAGUGGUUCCAAUUUGCAGCUUUUCCAUAGAGCAAGAACCAGCCUUGCUGUGCCCCUGCACUAGACAACCAGUGCCCCACCUUAGACGUUGGAACUUCAGCUCCUCCUCCAUGCGUCUAAAGUUUGAUAAUCCCAACCUCUUCCUGUUGUUCUCCCUGCCCACAUUAGUCCCCUAGUGCUGCCAUAACAAAGUACCACAGAUGGAGGGCUUAAACACCAGACAUUUAUUUUCUCACGGUUCUGGAGGCUAGAAGUCCAAGAUCAGGGUGUGGACAGGGCUGUUUCUCCAGACGCUGCUCUCCUUGCUAUAUAGAUGGCCACCUUCUCCCUGUAUCCUCACAAGAUCCUCCCUCCGUGUGUCCUAAUCUCCUCUUCUUACAAGGAGACCAGUCAUGUUGGAGUAGAGCCCACCCUAGUGACCUCAUUGUAACUUAGUCAUCUCUGGAGAGGCCCUAUCUCCAAAAACAGCCGCCUUCUGAAGUGCUGGGGGUUGGAACAUCAACAUAUGAAUUUGGGAGGAGACACAAUUCAGCCCAAAACACAGCCUUAGCUGCUUCCUGCAGUUUCCUCUUCUGUGAAACCUCAGUGGCCUUUUUUCUUUAUUUUUUUUUUUGUGACUUUUCAGUUCUCUAACACUUGGUUAAGACUCUUCUACAUUGAAUUCUCUCUGUUAAUUUAACUACGUGGUUUCUGUCUCUUGAAUGGAUCCUGGCUGAUACAGUAUGUCCCAUGGUGAUAGGACUGUGUGGAAAAAUAAUAAAGCAGAGAAAGAGGUGGGAAGUGAUGAGGUGAGGAUGGACAGGAAAGGCUGCACCAGAAGGUGACAUUGGAACAAAAACCCAGAGGAGAGGAAGGACAAGCCAUGAGACUUUCUUGAGGCAAAAGCAUCUUCUGGCAGACGAGGAGGCAUGGUGACAAAGGCACUAAAAUCUUAUUGAACAACGUGUAAUGCUCUUUGAGAUAAGUCACCACCAAGCAAAGAGCUCUUCAAUAAUGCUUGCUCUGAUGGACUGUCUUUCCAUUGAAGCAUAUCAGUAAUUGCCAGUGGGGAGCUGGGAAGUACUAAGCAAUUCUCACAUUGAAAUAAUAACAAUCAAGAAUUUUAGGACUAGUAAGGAUUUUGUAGUUCAUCUCACCCUUUUGCACUGUGUAGACCUAGACCCAGAGAGAUUAAUUCACUUGACCAGAUUCACACAGAUGAUUCACUGCGGCACUUGAACUCUAAUCUCCUGAUUCUUUUUGUUUUUAAGCUUUUUUUUUUUUUUUUUUUGCUGAGGAAGAUUGGCCCUGAGCUAACAUCUGUUGCCAGUUUCCCUCUUAUUUUGUUUUCCUUGAGGAAGAUAAGACCUGAGCUAACACCUGUGCCAGUCUUCCUCUCUUUUGUACGUGGUCACAACCUCAGUAUGGCUGACAGGUGGUAUAGGUCCGUGCUUGGGAUCUGAACCAGCAAACCCAGGCCACCAAAGUAGAACACACCAAACUUAACCACUAUGCCAUGGGGCUGGCUCCUCUAAUCUCCUGAUUCUUACAGUUCAGGAGUCUUUCCAUAGCACUGAUGUGGGCUUUCCACAUCAAUAAUUGCAACAGGUAUUAAGUUGACUGGAACAGUUAAUCAGGGAUUUAUGUCCACCAAGAAUGCCCAGUUCUCAGGUAAGAAUAUAAAAUUUUAUUGCUCCCUCAUAUCUUCAGAGGGCAUGCUAACAAAUCUUUGAUGCGUACGCAUAAAGGCAUGGGGAGUAGUUCAUGGCCUCGGUGAAGAACUAAUGCUGAUACCAAUGUAUAGUCUUUGUUAUGGUUUUUAGCAUAUGGUCCAUAUUGCAGGGGUAGGGCCUUGAAUUCCCCUCCUGGUCUAGAUCUAAGCUCAGUUGCUUCUCCAUUCUCUCCAAAAGUGCCUAAAAGUGGCCCCUGCAGAGGUGGCAUUCUGCCCCUUGGAGUGGCGAGACCUUCCAUGUCACUUCAUUCUCAGUAGGCCACAAGAAUGACUGAGGCAGCAUUGCCAGCUUGUAGAAACCAAAAUCCUGACAACUGACAGAAACUCUGAUGGCAAGGAUGGUAGCGGGAAGAAAGGCCACAGCCUAAGCUGUUCUGUUAGCAGCGUUCAGAUCCUCAUCUUGCAAGGCUUUCGGUAGGAUAUCUAUAUUUUCACGCCAUAAAGACAAAGGCUUUCAUUUUCUUUCUAGAGAUUUUAAUAUUGUUCCUAUGUGUAUUGGCUCUGCUUUGGGCACUAGAGCAUGGUGUAGACAUUGCACAUUAGCUCCUGACCGCUGGCCCAAAGAAGUAAGAUGAUUGCCUUGAGAAAUACAAGCGGUACAUCUAAAUACUUGACACAUACUCCUUGCCUUCCUAAGCUGUAGGUUUCCAUGGUGCAUUUGGCUUAAAUGAAAACCUCAUGUAUAUUUUUCUAUAUUUACUAGGGAUUCUUUUCAUUGCAAAUAUCAUUAGCAUCAUUAGCAACUAUUUAUUGACGUUGACUUACGUACAAGGCACUGGAGCAGCUAACGGUGAUUACAAGACGUAAAAGUCCCAGUUACUACCUCUGAGAUGGUUACAGUAGCCGAGCCUGGCAGAGGCUGAAAAGACUUCAAUGAACUUCCACUUCAUUUCUAAAAUGGGAGACUCUGAGUCCAAGGUGUUUGAUUUACUCAAACUCACCCAAGUGGAGAGGAGUGUGGAUGAAAAGAAAUAAAAAGAUCACAGAGGAAGAGAAACCAUGAGAUUAUUGUCGCAUUGGGAAACUUUAGCAGUAACACAACAUUAUUUCAGUGAAAUGAAUGUAAAAUUGCACUAAAGAUUAUUUCGGUAGAGACAGGUUGUCCUAUGUGUUACAUACGAUAUUAGUUUCAAUUUUUGGCUUUCAUUAUGAAUAUAGUUGAAUAUAAACUCAAUGCCUUUGGCAAGUAGGAUUUAGGUUGGCUAGGGGAGGCCAUGGGGAAAAGUGUCUUUUACUUCAUAAACUCUAUGGUAUCAUGUGACUAUAAUCUCUGGUAAUGUUUUUAUCAUAAAGAUUUCUUAAUUUUAUAGUAAAAUUUUUUAAAGAGGUGAACUGAAGGUGUUAUCAAAAAUGCUCAACUUGCAGAGGGGUCUGUCAUCAGCCUAAGCAUAACCAGUGGAAGAGAAGGGCUGAAAAUCAUGACCAGAUAUAUACCACAUUCCACUAAGACAUUGUUCUUGAAGAACAAACAGAAUAUUAAAGGAGUCCCAGGGUCUAGAAUUCACUGUGCAUUCAGGAAAGUUGCACAGAAGAAAACCCCAGCAGAAAAUAGGGCCCAUGCCAAAAAUGAUGAUGUAAUAACAGAAGAGAACCACUUCCAAGAGAAUUUGAUCGCUUCCGAUUAAACAAUGAUAAGACCUAUAAAAAUGACCUAGAAUUAAUCUACCUAAGUGUUGGCGUCUGUGUGCUUAUAACAUUGAAACCCUGAGUCAGUUGCUAAUAUAUGUAAAUCAACUUCCCUGCGAUUAAUUACCAAUAUUUACCUUUUGUUAUUGGCAUUUUUUAGUUUUUUUUACUGGUUUUACUCAGUAUGUUUUGUUUCAUUUUUGCGGUUGAUUUUGACAAUAUUCUGAUCAUCAAGUGGACAAUUUGGACAAUAAUACAGGAAAGACCAGCUGUGGUGGGCUGGGGCAAUUGGGAAUUCUUCAGGAAGGAACUGAAACUUGAAUGAGAUUCAAUAUUUAGAUAUGCCUUUCUUUCAUUGCCAUUGGAAAGCAGCACUAACGAGAAUUUGGCAUCUUGCUUCCAUCCUCCCCCGAAAAAGCCAUGCUUUUUUUUUUUUAACCCACCUGCCAUUGUAGUUUUAGUCAAAUAGUUAGCUACACUGAUCUAUAAAAUGCAUACCAUUGUUUAUAUUGUUGCUUUUGUUUAUUAUUUUAGACCCCUAAAUAUUGAGUGUUAUAUAGUAAACAUAGUUCCACACACUGGACUUUAUAAGCCACAGAAAAUUUACAUCUUUUGCCUAAAUAUAGUGUCCCAUAGCCAUGGGAAAAUUUCCAGUGCAAAUUGCCAACACCUCACACCGUUCUGUCCAACUCAACUUUCUCUGUGAUCUGACAUCCCUGUAGAACCAACAGACGUCCCCUCAACCCACAAAAAGAGCCAAGAUAGCAAUCAUUCAUGCCUCGUAUCUCAAUAAGCUGAGAUGGAUGUCAAUCACAGCUGGUAGCAGAGAUACAAAUUAAAUAGAUAGAAAAAAGAUUUCCUUUCCACAGCUUGUGAAAUUCCAGGACUGUCGCCGUUCUUUCUGCUCGAUCAGUGGCUCUCCUCAAUUCGGUCCCUCCCCACCAUCUGGUGGAUCUCAUGGCAUCUCAAGAGCCUAUUGGUCACGUGGGACUUUAUCUGCCCACUGUUUCAUUUAGAGUCUUGCCUCACAGUGUGCUCUGUUUCCUAUACCAAGCAUUUCCCAUUACCGUGAUUCUUCUCACUUCUCUCUUUAAGCAUUAUACCAAGUCCCAUUUCCUACUUGCACCUGCAAGGAUGAAGCUGCAGGUGUUUAUCUGUGUUGAAGUCACC